rnacentral:rRNA from 1 species
GAUGAACGCUGGCGGCGUGCCUAACACAUGCAAGUCGAACGAAGCACCUUACCUGAUUCUUCGGAUGAAAGUUUGGUGACUGAGUGGCGGACGGGUGAGUAACGCGUGGGUAACCUGCCCUGUACAGGGGGAUAACAGCUGGAAACGGCUGCUAAUACCGCAUAAGCGCACGAGGAGACAUCUCCUUGUGUGAAAAACUCCGGUGGUACAGGAUGGGCCCGCGUCUGAUUAGCUGGUUGGCAGGGUAACGGCCUACCAAGGCAACGAUCAGUAGCCGGUCUGAGAGGAUGAACGGCCACAUUGGAACUGAGACACGGUCCAAACUCCUACGGGAGGCAGCAGUGGGGAAUAUUGCACAAUGGGGGAAACCAUGAUGCAGCAACGCCGCGUGAGUGAAGAAGUAUUUCGGUAUGUAAAGCUCUAUCAGCAGGGAAGAUAAUGACGGUACCUGACUAAGAAGCUCCGGCUAAAUACGUG